AGGGAGAGGCGAAUAGAAAUGGAGGAGAGGCUACUUGAAAAGGAGGAGAGAGGAUUGAUGGAGAGACUUGAAAGGCAGAAGGAGCAACUUGAAAGGGAAAUUGAAAUGUUAAGAAGAAGAUUGAGGACGCAGCAGAAACCAGAGUCUCCUGAACCUGAACCUGAACCUGAACCUGAACCUGAACCUGAACCUGAACCUGAACCUGAACCUGAACCUGAACCUGAACCUGAACCUGAACCUGAACCCAGCUGUGUGUCCUUCAAGAGUGACUGGUCAAAUCGUCGCCAUAUUAGACUUUAAAGGUCAACAACCCUCUGCUGGAAAGAGAGUGGACCAGGAGAGCUCAGAGGUUCCCAUUGGUCAGUCUGCCCAGCAGCAUCAAACACACCUGGACUCCAUAUUUAUGCUGCUGGAGGACAACAUCAUCA